GCUCAUUGUAGCCCAACAUACAAAAUCAAUUUUCAGUAUUAUAGCGUAAAAUGAUUUGUGUAUGGGGAACACAUUUGCACUGCAAUUCAUAUUUAAGGUGCCAACAUAAAAUAUUACAUUCAUUAGUUUCAUGAAAAAAAGCCUAUUGUAGAACUCCAAACACAUAGGAUAUGAAACGUGAUUGCAGUCUCCUUCUGAUUUUAAUCCUAUGAGAUUUUGAUGUGUUUGACUGCAUAAUGAUAGAUGAAGGAUUCUCUACAAGGGAUUUGAGUGGAUCCAAAAUUUCAAUGAAACACGGUGUAAGAGAACCCUUAAAAAACUUACAAUAGUGAAUCAUGAGAAUCAAACAAGUGAUUCUUAUGAAGAUCUAUUGAAACAAUGAGGCCUCAUAGAGUAGCAACCUAAUUGGGUUGAUAUCCAAUUACCACAAAUAAGCUAAUUGUUCAUGCGUUGCAACAGAGGCAUACAUAUUCUCGUGGCUUGUACCAAUCAUAUUUGGCAUAUGUAUUACACCCAUCAUAUUCUAUAUUUGGGCAAGAUUUUAUUUGAUAUGAGCAUGGAAAGGGGAAGGCAUUUUUUUUAUUUAGUUGAGGUUUCGAAAGUUUGAUUUCGGUAUGGGUAGGGACACAAGGAAAGUUUUGACUUAGUUGAUGAUUUGAUAAGUUUUGAUUUGAGUGAGUUAAUGUAGGACAUGGGGACGAGUGAUUUAUAGGAGGAGCAAAACCAAACAGGGCGGAGGAGGGGUGAAGGUGAACGUAUAACGACCAACUCCCAUUAAAUAGUAGAGAUAGAGAAAAACUAGAAAC
rnacentral:lncRNA from 1 species